ensembl:lncRNA
CCCGGACCCGCAGCGCCGCCCAGGCGGGACGCCCCCGGCCCCGAGGCGGGGUGAGGCCGCCAUGUCUUCCUGAGUUGAACUGGAAGCUUUGGAUGUCUGCAGCCUACAGAAACGAGCUCUGAAGGAUUUUGUAUGUGGAGUACAAGAAAGAAAACGUCCCAGAACACAUUGGUAGAAAGCUGAGUAUUCCGGAAGAGGUUUACAGUACAGUUCAGCUUUUACACACACAUGUAGCCAGCAGUAUGAGAAGUUUGGCCAUUCUUCAGCAUCGGUGUUGUCCUUAGCCACUAAACACAGAUGAAGCUCUGCAGUAGGCCGUUCUGUUCCUGGUAAGAUUUGCCUCUCUCUUUGACUGUAGUUUCUGACAUCAACACAAAGCACAACUUGCUGACGUACUGUAGUCCACAGCAGGAGUGUUUUGCCACUGUACCGGUGUUACACUGUCAGAGGGCUCUUAGGAUAGCUAUUAAUUUAGAUGCUUUUAUCAGAUAUACACUGUUUUGAAAUGAAUCUUAGGCAAAUCAUGAUCAGCUAAGUUGUUGAGAGGAGUAGGUGCAAAUUCUGUAAUCACAGUCUGAUUAGGCAAUGGCCUGUCUCCACAGAAGAGAAGCAGCGGGAUACAUACUUCUGCACCAUCUGAAAUUCUAAAUGGCGAAAAUAAAGUGUGUGGUUCUGAUACCAGCUCCAAUUAAGGGAGUUAUGAACACUUAACUGCCUAUUAGUCUGAAUGCACGCAUCUAGUUUUCUGAAUGUGCAAACAUAAAGACUUCAGAUAAUCUGACCUGUGGUACUCUUAAUCUUAAUGAACAGCCCUGAAAUCUGCUUGCAGGUAUGAUUGCAGCUGGUAGUGUCUGGUUUGUUGCCUUUGCUUAUUUGACCUUCACCCUUCUAAUUUCAGCGUGCAGCUAAGAUCUGACUUGGACUCCACUGCUUUUACAGCUGUAGCCAGGUUCACAUGAUCCCUUGGGUUUUAAUGGAUGGCUCUGUCUAAUAAUAAGACCUGGUCCUCAAAUUUUACUGAGUCCCUACCUGGGGAAAUUUCUAUUGGAAUUUACUGACCUUUAAUCUCUCCUCCACUUUUUUUUUUCUUUCUUUUUUUUUUCUUUUUUUCUGGAAGGUAUUUAAUGCAAUGUUUUGAGUGUUUUUUAAUACGCUUGUAAUGGUAAUCUAAAAUAUAAUUUGUAGGCAGACUUAAACCAAGGAUGCUACAUAGUCUUGAGGCAUAUUUGUUCCACUUCUUUCUCUGUGUUGUGUAAAGGAAUGUAACAGGAAAAAAAAAUGUAUUUUUUUCAGGUAGGGGGAAUAAUGCAGCAAGAAAUUCUCAGAACAAAACAGCCCAGCUUUCAAGUGUAACAGAAGAGUAUGGAGUGAUUAAGCACAGGGAAUUCCUUAACUCAUGUUAAAUUAAGCAAUGUGCCCUGGUUUCCAGGAACAGCUUAAUGGUUGUUCUCAGGUCUUUGUUAGUACAGUAAGCACAGAUAGUGUUAAUGAUCGAGAACUAGGCAGUCCUAUCAAGACACUGCAGUGUAUCCUCAACUGCAGAAUAAGUCAUAUCUGUCAGUCAGCUUAGCAAACAAGUAAGAAAUUCUAUCUGGUGGGUUAGCAAAGCACUUGUCUUCCUAAUAAUAGCUGUGCUCUUGAAAGGUCCUGCUUUGCAGAACCUCUCUGCAAAGGUGGAGGGUGGACCUUCACUGCUGAAUUUUUUAAGUAACAAACAAAUAGGUCAGAAGGAAAAAAAGCAUCGUUACUUGUUUUCAGCUCUAGCAUUUAGCCAGUUUUCAAUAUCUAGCAGAUUGCUUUGUAGUUAUGAACCUUUUUUUGUGGUUUUUUUUUUGUUUUUUAAAAUGAAAAGUAAUUUAUUUUUUCAAUAAUACACUUUUCUUUUUCUCCUGUGAUAGACAAGUUCCUCUGAACUCAAGUGAAUUCAAACCCUGAAAGAUCUUUUUUUUUUUGUCCUCAGCUUUGCACAGAAGGUUUUUCUUUCAGCUUUUUGACUUUGAUAUUAGACCAUGUUUCUGAUUUCCUUUACCUUUUGUCUGUUGGUUUAUUCUUUCACAUAUGGAGUUGCACACAGCUCCUCCAGUUAUAAUUAUAACCUGUAAGUUUGCUGAAUUGGGUCUUCAGAGAAAUGCUUGAUGUUUGUAAUUACAUUUUGCAGCAUAACAUAUCUUGCUUAAAAGUAUCUAAUUGUUUUAAUUACCUGUUUUUAUAUAAUGAUGUUUUAUACAUCUUCUGUAGAUUGAGAAUGGUGGUUACACUCAGCUGAGUUAAAGGUGGGUUUCCUAGCAAUGUGGCUUGCCAUAAUAGAAGUGCUCCAAAAUGUAUCCCAUUCCAGUGGGUGUUUGCAGUGAAAUUACUCUCACUUGAGAAAUCAUAGGAUCACAGGAUGGCUUGAGUUGGAAGGGACCUUGCAGCCCAUCCAGUUCCAACCCCCAACCACGCGCAGGGCUGCCACCCACUAGGUGAGGCUGCCCAGGGCCCCAUCCAACCUGGCCUUGAAGGCCUUCAGGGAUGGGGCAUCCACAGCUUCUCUGGGCAAUUUGUUCCAGUGCCUCACCACCAUCUGAGUAAUUAAUUUCUUCCUAUUGUUUAUCCUGAGUUUCCCCUCUUUUAAUAUAAAACCAUUUCCCCUUGUCCUGCUACUAUCUGCCUGUUUAAAAAGUCGGCGUCCUUCCUGUUAAGUACUGGAAGGCCACAAUGAGGUCUCCCAGAGCCUUUUUCAGACUGAAUGAGCCCAGCUUUCUCAGCCUUUCUUCAAAGGAGAAGUGCUCCAGCCUUCUGACCUUCUUUGUGGCUUCCUUUGGAUCCUCUCCAACAGCUCUAUGUCUUGUGCUGGGGGCCCAAUGCAGCACAGUGGGGUUUUGUCCUGAAAAUGGGGACAAAGCUGGGAGGAGAAGUCUUUCACCUUCAUGUGAUAAAUGCAACAGAUACAGCUUUGGAAGCAAGUUGUUUUGUUCAAAGCAAAAAUCAUAGAACUGUAGAGAAGGAAGACUUAUGUGUGUUAUCUCAUGAAGACAAUUGGCUGGAGAAAGGAAGAGCUUCCUUGGGAAGGAGGAUCCCACAGUUCACUGACAACUCAUUCACAACUGGCGGUAUUCUAUUAGGGAAGGGUUGCAUACCAGGUGGAUGGUGUCCUCCUUUGAAAGUGAUUUCCUAGCCAUAAUCUGUCUAAAUGGAUUUUUGCUCUGUUUUUGUUAAGGGCAGUUUUCUCCUGUAGUGUCUGAAAGAUGUCCUUUGGAAUCAUACGUGCAAAUAGGGCAGUUUUACUUGCCGCUAUACUUUCAUGGUAUGAAGGCAAGUUCAGAAAUAACAUGGAUUGGUAAACCGGUGUAUAAAAGUGUUUACUUGUGAAUUCACUUGUAAUACUGCAUUGACAGAACUAUUGUGGUUGUUUCCUCUGCUUGGAAAUUAGGUAAAAUCAAUCUAUUAGCACCCACAUACUGGUGAUAUCUUAAGAGAAUGUUUAGAAGCCUCCUCAAUCCAUUGCUAGUUUGGGGCAUUCUCUAACUGAAGUUGUAGCAAUCUACUACGAAUCAUUUAUCCACCUCCCUUCUUGCAGUCCUCUAUUGUGAUGACCUGUCACUCCAUAAUUGCAUUCUCAAGGAUAUUUCUAUCUCUACUCCCGUUGUGUCCGAAGUACAUACAUUUACACCUAUUCAUUUCUGACAACCAAGUCUGCUUUUGUCCAGUAAUAUCUUUAAUAGGAGCAUUUAUCUUCUUUUUCUGUCCAAGAGAUAAGUAAGAGCCUUUACUUGCACCACACUCAAAAACUUCCAUUUUCUUCCUGUCACUGUCAAUAAUUUCUCAGGAUUUGCAUAAUUCAUGAAUUGCUAUAGCAAAAAAAUUAAGCAUUUCACCAAUGAAGUCUUUCUGCUGUUUGAGGUGAAACGGUUUUUAUCAGGCUGAUAUAAGGAAAGCCAUGGCUGAACCAACUGUUGUUCAAAAUGUUACGGUUUCUACUGGGCAGAUUCUGAUUGGAUAUAUUUGAUCCUAGAUAACUGAAUUUAUGAACAGUCUCUGUAGCCAGACCAUUCAGCAUAAAGCAUAACAUUCUAUUCUUAUUAAUUAAGUAUAUUUGUGGCAUAUUCAAAAAUAGCUUGUAUUUUUAACUAAGUUUUUAUUGGCUGUCUAAUGCUUGCUGCACAGUAGAAGCAGUUGUGACAAAGAACAUUAAGACAUCAGCCUAUGAGUCCAUUGCAAAUACAGCUUCUCAAUUCUGAAAUGUCCUUCCCCAGUUUUAUUUAUUUAUUUAUUUUCCCAGCCAGGCUAUAAGAAAAUCUGCAGUUAUCACAUCUGUAAACUGGAAAGUUUAGCCCACGGCAGCUACGUACGAGGGAGAAGAUUAUACGAGCAGUCUCCCUCUUCCCCCAAUUAGAUGAGAACUGUUGUACGGUCUGUUUAAAAAUCAGAAUGUGUGGUACUGAGGUUCUGAUUAAAAGGCUUCUACACGAGAAGUAUUGAUUAUAUUUGUGUUGUUGCUGUUCCUAAUUCUUUCACGGAUGCAAUGCCUUCUGCUUGCAGUAAAGAAAAGAAUGAGACAGAACUUUACAAAUGAGUAUAAAUCUAGGAUUUACCAUUAUGAUGAAAGAAAGAGAUGUGAUGAAUGGAUGUAAAAUCUCGGAGCUGUAGUGUAAUGAUGGGGUCAUUUCAUCAUGAUGGGUAGAUAUGACAUGCAGUAUUCAGAGCCUUCAAAAAGGGUUUCAUUUAUCAUACUCGAGGAGGCAUCAAAGUGUUUGGGUAUGACUCAAAGCAAAAGAAUCGUUACAAUUUGCCUUUGAACAAACUCAGGAAAUAUAUUGAUCGUAUAGGUUUAUGCUGCUAGAAAAACAGCUAAUGAUGAUUCAGUCUAUGUAUUUUGUGCAUAGCUUGAGGAAAUGUUCAUUAAAACCUUACACCAUGUAUGCCGCUACACCCUUUGGGAACUUAAACAUAAAAGCUGGAAUUUCAAAACCUUAUUAAGUACAAUUUGAGUUUACAGAAAUAGAAUAAUAUAUUUGAAUUCUGGAAUUGUGUGGCCAUAGGUGAGAGAGGAAACUACACCAGAUGAUGUUUGGAGUAAAAAGAAAGCUCUGAUUUCCAAAUGUGCUGGUGCAUAGUGUUCAAUAACAGCAGUAUUGGUCGAUGAAGAUGGUGACUGAGUUCAUUUGAGCUGAUGUUCAAAUGGAUAUUUAACAAAGUGGGCCACGAAUGGGUUUCUAAGGAGAGGACAGAAUACCAGAAAUGGAGCAGAUGAAGCCAGAAGUAGGCUAGACAAGGCAAGAGCAAGCACAGAAGUGAGAAAGCAUGGCUGUGACAGACAUGAAUGCUUAACAAUACAAAUGUGUUCUCAGUAGCCAGGCUGUGAACCAGAAAUUUGCAAUGACUGGGUAUGGGAAAGUUCAUCAUGGUAGCGGUCACCGGAGAUGAUGAUUCUGAAUGCCAGCAGAGUUCGAACUUACGCUGUUCAUAAAGUGGACUGAUAUGUAUCCACUUACAAUUUUACCAGCAUCUAAAACACUAUUUAUAUCCUGUCUGAAAUUGGCAGGGCAGCUCAUAUGUUCUCCGUGUAAUGUACUGUAACUACACUGUAUCUAGUACGUAAACGUUUGCUUUCUUAAUAUAUUGCUACUGUUCUUUUUAUCUUCCAGACACUGCGUAUUUAUGCCUAAUCUUUUGUAUUUUCAGUUCAGCACAGGCUAAAACUGUCAGCCUCAUUUAUCUGAGACUAUUAAAAAUGCAGACAAAGGCUUUCAGCCAGCAUGUGAACAUUGAAGUUGCUACUUUCUAUGUACCCAAUUUUUGCUUAUGGGAUGUCAUUGAUCUAUAUCUGAUCAAUAUUUUUAAAAUUUCCUUUGAGAUCUGCUCAGCAGCCAUCUGUAUUCCAGUGUGUGGAGGAGAAAGCUGAGUGAGUCAGUUUCUUCAUUCCUCUUCAGAGUCAUUUUGCUCUGACACUGCCUUGAUGCGCUAGGCUUGUAUCCUUGCUUCAAAAACUGUAACAGUAUGUUCUCUCACAGACCUUCAUAGCAAAGAAGAUUUAAACGAUAAAAUAUGUUGACAAGCCUAUAAGAGUUUGAAUAUAGCAAGAACAGAGCAGCAGGGGGAGAAAACAUUAGGUAGUAACUAGCAAUAGGUCCUUAAGCCUCCUAAUCAGCUGCAUAUAACAAGGAAGAAAUGUGACGAAAUAAAUACAUACAAAUGUGCUGACGUAGUCCAUGAAUAAAAUAAAAGAGUUUUACAGUUUCUGGAAUUCAAGCUAACUUGCAGUAAUAUUUAGUCUGCCUUACUAAAUUCCAAUUUUAGGGGGUUGUCUGUUUUCCUUAGUAAAAAGAAUUUCCCCUUAACACACUGCUAGAUAUGAGAAAUGGGAAUGCAGGAGGAUGUAUGAAUGAGAUGAAGAAAUGGGAGGAGCUGAGAUGAGCACACGUGGUAGGGAAUCCGGAGCUGUCUGAGCAUAAGAGAAUUUCAUAGGAGUAAAAAAAAAAAAAAAAACAACAAAGAGAGAUGGAAGGUGAAAAAAAGAGCCCUGAGUGAAUGGCAGAUAUAUCUUAAACAUUGUUAUUUAUGAUCAGUAAGUACACCGUUGCCAAAUUCAAGCUGAACUGAAGAAGCCAAAUUUUGCACACAAUAAAUACUAUGCGAUGUUCUGUUAUUUAUAAAACUAGUUAUACGUACAGUUAAUAUUUACUGAAUACCAAAUUCCUUUCUAGUUUGCUCUGUGUAUUUGGAAGAUACAAAAAAUCUUUUCUGCAUCUGGCUGAAAGAAGUUGUAAGAUCUUUACAAAUCAGAGCAUAUUAUUAACAUUCAAAUUAAAAAAUAUUGUCAUGAAUUUUUUGCCAUUUACAUAGGGAGUUCCAGCUCAGCUGAAGACCUGCAUCAAAAUACUUUGGGACUUUCAUUCCUGCAUGCCUGUUUGAUGUUUUGGUGCUCCUAUGGUUAGUAGAUGCCCUCUUGCUGAACCUGGGGAAGAACAUGUGAGUGACAGUGGCAACAGUCAUACAACCAGGUGAUACAAUCUGCUGGCCACAAAACAGCAAACCUGGCUAUGUAGAGUAGACAGGUAAAUUAAAAAAGCUUGAAUUGAGGAAGGGCUGUUUCUGUUAUAUCAAUUCUAACAAUAGGUUUAAACAUCAUCUGGAUAGGGAUUUGCUUUUUAGGUGCCUUUAAUCGAUGCUGAAUUUGAAAAGUAAAUGUGUAAUGUCGAAAAUUGUCCAGUUCAUAACAAUAGUGAGAUAAGGAUGUAAUUCUUAUCAAAGUACCCAUUGGUCUCUCUAACCAUCACCACUGCACAAGAGAAGAGAUCACACCUCAGUAAUGGAAAAGGUGCACCAAACAAAUGAAUCGCUCCUCUUUCAAUGUUAUUUUAAGCUAUGUUCCUUCUUCCAGGUUUUGGGGAACGUAGACAACAGGAAUCAAAUCAUUCAAAGAGUUCAUUGUCUGAUCAUCCAUUUGAAGAAAGCUUCAACAUUUUUUACGUGCUGGUUGUAUUAACAGAUUAUUUUUUAUUUUUUUGCCUAUUAAGAUGGGCCCACGUCCAAAUUGCGACAUCCUGAAUUGUGUGUGAGCUAAAUCUGGUUACAGAUACAAAUCUGAAUAUUAUGAGCAGGGUGGAGUUGAGCUAAAGAUCUGACUCCCUCGGCCUUGUGACUUGGAUGUGACAUGAGUUUGGCAUGUCCAAGCUAACCCUAUUUUUUUACCUAGCUCCUGAAUAAAUUGGAAACUUAAAAAGGCACUGUCAUGUUUUGUAUCUGAAACCAUAAGGUGGUCUUAAGCUGCCUGCAGUGCUGUAAAUUUGAGUUUCUUUUGUUGCUGUUGUUAUUCAUUGGGAAAGAAUGCGGCCCGGUUUCCAGUGACAGAGGGUGUGAAAUGGUAUAAAGUAGAAGUAAAAGGUGGAUUAUUUUGAAGAGACAAAAAAAACAAACCAAAACAAAACCAUAGUUCCCUGUUCAACAGGGACCAAAUAACCAUGGAGCCAGUUUCCUAUGUAAGUAACUGCGAUUCUGUCAUGUGACAGUUACAUGGAGUCACAUACUGAACAAAGAAUUUUCUUAAAAAAAAAAAAAAAAAAAAAAGAAAAAGAACUGUAGUCUAUGAAGCUGCUUUUAAAUGCUCAAUGCUCCCUGCUCCCCCCAUCUCCUUGGCUUCUUGUUUCAGCCUAAGUAGUAGAGCACACAAGUUAUUCAAGUUUAGAAACUAGUUAGUGAAAUUGAAUUCAUAAAUGAGUGCUAGUGAUUUUAGACCAUAAAAUGGAUCCUAAUUUAUUUUUACAAGCAGCAUGACUGAGGUUAAGCUUGAAGGUUGCUGUAGCCAGACAGGUUUUUUUGUAAAGCUGGUGAGUGAGGAGCAUCGACACCACAUAGGAUACACGUUAGAUACCUAUGCUUAUGUAGCAUGUACUUACAUAGUGUAGAGUUUUGAACUCAGAAUUUUUUUGUGAAAUACACAGGUCUGGGUCAGAUCUGUAUUUCGAAAUAAAGCCUCUAAAAAAACACUGCUGAAAGAAAGCAAAUAGAUUUUUAUACAUUUUGUAAUCUGAUGUUAACAGUCACAGUGAGGUAAACAUUUAUAAAUCACUUGUAACUGGCAGGCUGUUAACUUCUGGUAAAUGGUUUGCUCAGACAAUGGAGUAGAGUCUUUCUUGACAUCUAAAAGUGUUUAUUCACUCAGAUGACAUUAAUAGGUUGCUGAAACUAAAAUUCAGGGUCGCAACUAAUAUUACAUCUACUUAGAAAUCCCGUUCUGCAGCCAGGUGCAACAGUUUAAAAUCUGUGAGUGAGAGCAGUAAAACAGCUGACAUCCCCAAACUUCCUGCACAAUGGGAACACUGUGGGUUGGUUUUGUUUUUUUUUUUUUGGUCUGUUUGUUUGUUUUUUAAAUCUGGAAUAACUAAAAUGUUGUAAUUAGUUUUUAGUUGAAAUAUUACACGAUCAAAAGAAAACAUUAACUGGUAGCUUUUUGAACUUUUCUUUAUAAUAAAGUCAAAUUAAAAUUUACUUUUUCAGUAAAUGUUUUCAAGGGUUUGGUUCUGCAUCUCAAAAUGAUUCAAUCAUGUUAAGUGAACGUGUUUGAGGAAAUGCCCCUUUUUUGCUCUAAGUAAAGUGGUUAUUGUAGGUGAGGCAUAAUAACUUACUGUACUGAGAUCCUAAUACAGGCAAGCUAGUUGGUAGGUUUCUCGUGUUCUUCGUGCUAUUGGGGUGAAGGUAAACAGAUAAGAAUAUAAAAUUACUGUAGUCUUCUAGUACAUAUUUUCCUACUAAAAGAAACAAGCUUCUUUCUGCCUCUACCCCCAUUUGCCUUAAGGAAGAUACAGUACAACGUUGGAUGAUUUGGAUUUUGCUGGUAUCACUUAUACUUGACACCUGACUCUGAAUAAGAUAUCCCAAGAGAAGCUCAGCUACCAAACAAAAUAAAAUGCUCAAGUCUCAUAUUGCAAAUUCUUGAAUGAUGUUGGUUCUGUUUCAACCUGGAAAAUUGUAGCACAGUUCCAAACCAGAGCACUUCCUUCUGGAGCUCUGCCUGCCAUCAUGCAGCAGAGCAGAGACCCCCACGGUUCUGUCAUGGGGCAUUUUGUUCUUGCAGCUCCAGCUUUACCCAUGAGUGGAGGCCAUGAAUGAUACUGUUCCUUGGAAAUGUCUUCUUUCUCGGUCAGCAUACUGCAAUUGUUUUGUUAAAAUCAGUAAGUAAACAUCCUGGUCAAAUUCCAGUUCAGAUAACAGCACUCUGCUUACAGAGUUCCUGCAGUUUCAAAUAAAUGGCAUACUUAUGUCUGUUACCCUGUUCUGUGGUAUUGGAUGGUGGUGGUAAGCAGCUGGUAUGUUGUGGCUCAGAGGUGAUCUCAGCUAACUCAGGCAUAAGGUGGAUCCCCUUUGCUUUUCAUUAUUACUUUAAAAUUGAGACAUGUUGAUGAUGGUAAAGUUGCUGAAGUGUCAAACAUUUAUCUCUUUUUUCUUCUUCCUGUACAUCUUGUUCUAACUAUUGCAGAGAUAAAAAUGGUGUCUG